rnacentral:rRNA from 1 species
UACGUAGGGGGCAAGCGUUAUCCGGAUUUACUGGGUGUAAAGGGAGCGCAGACGGCUGUGCAGGUCUGAAGUGAAAGGCUGGGGCUUAACCCCGGGACUGCUUUGGAAACUGUAUAGCUGGAGUGCCGGAGGGGUAAGCGGAAUUCCUAGUGUAGCGGUGAAAUGCGUAGAUAUUAGGAGGAACACCAGUGGCGAAGGCGGCUUACUGGACGGCAACUGACGUUGAGGCUCGAAAGCGUGGGGAGCAAAC